rnacentral:rRNA from 1 species
UACGGAGGGUCCGAGCGUUAUCCGGAAUCAUUGGGUUUAAAGGGUCCGCAGGCGGUCAAUUAAGUCAGAGGUGAAAUCCCAUAGCUCAACUAUGGAACUGCCUUUGAUACUGGUUGACUUGAGUCAUAUGGAAGUAGAUAGAAUGUGUAGUGUAGCGGUGAAAUGCAUAGAUAUUACACAGAAUACCGAUUGCGAAGGCAGUCUACUGCGUAUGUACUGACGCUGAGGGACGAAAGCGUGGGGAGCGAACUGG